GGUCAAGAGCGGGCAUGAGUCAUCAAAAAUUCAUUUCAAUUUCAAGUCGCCGUGGUACUCCAUUCUUCCGCUAGUGUAGGAAAAAGUUGGAUACCAAAGACCAUGAACACCCCGGUAUCAUAUCGACCUGGGUUAUAUUUUUCAACAUUCCCAUUAAGUACGAAUAUCGAGAGUAUCAAGUAACGAAUGAAAUUUUAUUCUGUAACAUAUUUCUCAAUUUUAUCAAUUCUGGUUUUGUAUCAAAUAUUGAAAGUUUGGAUAUUUCAAAACCCAUCACUGCUUGCAUCAAUAGUGCCCAAUUGAAUUUCAAACAGUGGUGUUAUGUAUAGCGUGUAUAUCGUGCAUAAUCGCAAAAUUUUUUUUUUGUUUUUUACUUCAAACAAUGUAGAGCGCAUAAUGAACUAGAUUUAAAAACAAAAAUUUCGAUCAAGAUAUUUCGCAACAACAUAAUUGUCUUAAGGCAAAAGGAAAAUCGCAAAAAGGGUAAUAAGAAAAAAAUAUUAAAAAAGCAAGUCUUCGCGCUCAUUAGAAAAACAUUGAAAAUCAUAGUAUAGCAUUGGAAAUAUCAGCAGUUUCAACAUAAGUUUUAUCAUAGAUAUUAUUAGAUAAUAAGUGUUUGCUUCAUGUUUUUAAUCGGCCUGUGCAGUGAAAUAUAAUAUGUGAAAACAAAUGUGUGUUUUAUGUGUUUAAAGAGGUCUGCGCAGUGGAAAAAUUAUGUGAAUACAAAUGUUUGUUUUAUUUUCCCAUUAUAUAGAACAAACAAAACUCUAUUAUUGUAUUCACAGUUUAUGAGAAUAUUCAUAUAUGGCAACUUUGCCUGAUAUUUGACAUUUAAACUGUGAGCGCACAAAGUUAGUUUUGUUGCAAAUUAAUGUUUAAUUUUUGUAUAAAAAUGUCUCAUUUAAAUGGAAAGUAAAAUAUCCAAAUUAUCAUUAUGUCAAUAUAACCGCUAAUGAUUCGAGUAUGUAUAUAUAUAAGUUAGCACCCCAUACAUUCAAAAUGUAUCAUAUGAUGCAUUAAUAUCAUAUGAUACAA